CGGGAUGUGGCGCAGCUUGGUAGCGCACAAGUCUGGGGGACUUGGGGUCGCUGGUUCAAGUCCAGUCAUCCCGACCA
rnacentral:tRNA from 1 species